rnacentral:rRNA from 1 species
AUGCUGGAGGUAUCAGAAGUGCGAAUGCUGACAUAAGUAACGAUAAUGCGGGUGAAAAACCCGCACGCCGGAAGACCAAGGGUUCCUGUCCAACGUUAAUCGGGGCAGGGUGAGUCGACCCCUAAGGCGAGGCUGAAAAGCGUAGUCGAUGGGAAACGGGUUAAUAUUCCCGUACUGGUGGUAACUGCGAUGGGGGAACGGAGAAGGCUAGGUUGUCCGGGCGACGGUCGUCCCGGUUCAAGCAUGUAGGCAGAGUGAUUAGGCAAAUCCGGUCACUUAAUGCUGAGGUGUGAUGACGAGCCACUAAGGUGGUGAAGCAAUUGAUGCCCUGCUUCCAGGAAAAGCCUCUAAGCUUCAGGUUACCAACAAUCGUACCCCAAACCGACACAGGUGGUCAGGUAGAGAAUACUCAGGCGCUUGAGAGAACUCGGGUGAAGGAACUAGGCAAAAUGGUGCCGUAACUUCGGGAGAAGGCACGCUGGCGGUAAGUGAAGUCCCUCGCGGACGGAGCCGAAGCCAGUCGAAGAUACCAGCUGGCUGCAACUGUUUAUUAAAAACACAGCACUGUGCAAACACGAAAGUGGACGUAUACGGUGUGACGCCUGCCCGGUGCUGGAAGGUUAAUUGAUGGGGUUAUCCUUAGGGAGAAGCUCUUGAUCGAAGCCCCAGUAAACGGCGGCCGUAACUAUAACGGUCCUAAGGUAGCGAAAUUCCUUGUCGGGUAAGUUCCGACCUGCACGAAUGGCGUAAUGAUGGCCAGGCUGUCUCCACCCGAGACUCAGUGAAAUUGAACUCGCUGUGAAGAUGCAGUGUACCCGCGGCAAGACGGAAAGACCCCGUGAACCUUUACUAUAGCUUGACACUGAACAUUGAGCCUUGAUGUGUAGGAUAGGUGGGAGACUAUGAAGUGUGGACGCCAGUCUGCAUGGAGUCAACCUUGAAAUACCACCCUUUAACGUUUGAUGUUCUAACCUAGGCCCGUGAUCCGGGUCGGGGACCGUGUCUGGUGGGUAGUUUGACUGGGGCGGUCUCCUCCUAAAGAGUAACGGAGGAGCACGAAGGUUGGCUAAGCAUGGUCGGACAUCAUGCGGUUAGUGCAAAGGCAUAAGCCAGCUUGACUGUGAGAGUGACGGCUCGAGCAGGUACGAAAGUAGGUCUUAGUGAUCCGGUGGUUCUGAAUGGAAGGGCCAUCGCUCAACGGAUAAAAGGUACUCCGGGGAUAACAGGCUGAUACCGCCCAAGAGUUCAUAUCGACGGCGGUGUUUGGCACCUCGAUGUCGGCUCAUCACAUCCUGGGGCUGAAGUAGGUCCCAAGGGUAUGGCUGUUCGCCAUUUAAAGUGGUACGCGAGCUGGGUUUAGAACGUCGUGAGACAGUUCGGUCCCUAUCUGCCGUGGGCGUUGGAAGAUUGAGAGGGGUUGCUCCUAGUACGAGAGGACCGGAGUGAACGCACCACUGGUGUUCGGGUUGUCAUGCCAAUGGCAUUGCCCGGUAGCUAAGUGCGGAAGAGAUAACCGCUGAAAGCAUCUAAGCGGGAAACUUGCCUCGAGAUGAGUCUUCCCUGUCACCUUGAGUGACCUAAAGGAACGUUUAAGACUAAGACGUUGAUAGGCUGGGUGUGUAAGCGUAGCGAUACGUUGAGCUAACCAGUACUAAUGAACCGUGAGGCUUAACCUG